rnacentral:rRNA from 1 species
UGGGGAAUUUUGGACAAUGGGGGAAACCCUGAUCCAGCCAUCCCGCGUGUGCGAUGAAGGCCUUCGGGUUGUAAAGCACUUUUGGCAGGGAAGAAACGUCGCGGGUUAAUACCCCGCGAAACUGAUGGUACCUGCAGAAUAAGCACCGGCUAACUACGUGCCAGCAGCCGCGGUAAUACGUAGGGUGCAAGCGUUAAUCGGAAUUACUGGGCGUAAAGCGUGCGCAGGCGGUUCGGAAAGAAAGAUGUGAAAUCCCAGAGCUUAACUUUGGAACUGCAUUUUUAACUACCGGGCUAGAGUGUGUCAGAGGGAGGUGGAAUUCCGCGUGUAGCAGUGAAAUGCGUAGAUAUGCGGAGGAACACCGAUGGCGAAGGCAGCCUCCUGGGAUAACACUGACGCUCAUGCACGAAAAGCGUGGGGAGCAAACAGGAUUAGAUACCCUGGUAGCCCACGCCCUAAAACGAUGUCAACUAGCUGUUGGGGCCUUCGGGCCUUGGUAGCGCAGCUAACGCGUGAAGUUGACCGCCUGGGGAGUACGGUCGCAAGAUUAAAACUCAAAGGAUUGACGGGGUCAUAGCUGUUUCCUG